CAAAACCUCAGUCACCACCUGAGGGACUUCUGGGGCCACACACAGCCCAUCAAUCCCUGCUUCACUCAGCCACAGACCUCUGAGAUGCUGGUCCAGGGUCCCCUCCUUGUAAGACCUCCUCAGCACACACUCCACGCCAGCUUCAAGACAUCUUAAGAUGAGCAAUCGGUCCUCACGCACCUUCACCCCGCCCCCUGAACUGCAUCCUGAAACACUGGGACAAAUUUGACCCUCAAACCCUGAAGAAGCGACGCCUGGACUUCUUUUGCUCAGAAUGGCCUCAAUACAUGUUGGAAGAUGGGGAAACCUGGCCUUCUGAGGGAAGUAUCAAUCACAAUACUACCAUGCAGUUGGACCGGUUUUGCAGACUGGAAGGCAAAUGGUCAGAUAUUCCCUACGUUCAGGGUUUUUUGCCCUAAGGGACAUUCCAGACCUCUGUAA